AACGAACGCUGGCGGCAUGCCUAACACAUGCAAGUCGAACGAGACCUUCGGGUCUAGUGGCGCACGGGUGCGUAACGCGUGGGAACCUGCCCUUAGGUUCGGAAUAACUCCCCGAAAGGGGUGCUAAUACCGGAUAAUGUCUUCGGACCAAAGAUUUAUCGCCUUUGGAUGGGCCCGCGUUGGAUUAGCUAGUUGGUAGGGUAAAAGCCUACCAAGGCGAGGAUCCAUAGCUGGUCUGAGAGGAUGAUCAGCCACACUGGGACUGAGACACGGCCCAGACUCCUACGGGAGGCAGCAGUGGGGAAUAUUGGACGAUGGGCGAAAGCCUGAUACAGCAAUGCCGCGGGAGUGAUGAAGGCCUUAGGGUUGUAAAGCUCUUUUACCCGGGAUGAUAAUGACAGUACCGGGAGAAUAAGCUCCGGCUAACUCCGUG
rnacentral:rRNA from 1 species